GUAAAAUUAACGGGAAAUAGAGGUGUUCAGAGACUUAACACGUCUCUGGAGUGUUCGUUUUUUCUUUUUUGUAUUUUUAACAGUAUAAGCACUUAGUGUUGGAAGAGAGAAACCAGUGUUCUUUUUAAAGAAGGAAAACAAAAACUCAACCUUGUGGGCAACAGGAGGAAAGUCACACUGGCCAGCGGGCAGCACCCUGCGUUGGCAGAGGAGAAAUCUGAGCUCCAGCGGCACCGGCGGCAUUUGCACAGAGCCACAGCCUCCCGUUUCAAGUUGCAAGUCUCUGGAGUCCCAGGCAAGGCCCCAGCCUGGCUCCCUUCUCAGAGCCCCGAGAACUGAUGAGGAGCCCCUGCACCAACCACAGGACACGCAGAGGGACCUGACAGAACAGAAUCUGUCUUCUUCCUUACAAGAUCUCCUCCUCCAGUUCCCUCCUUCAUCCUGUAACGGCUGCUUCCAGCUCCCGGGAGAGAAUCACUGAGGAGCUCGAAUAGGACUGUGAACAAGCAUGACCCUUCUGAAGACAUGCCAGCAGACCCUGAUAGUUGAGCAGAACGUGAUGCUCAACGCUGCACUCAUCAGGACAGUGAGGGUAUUUGGGCACUAAACACAGAGUGCAGAGUCCAUUGGAGAGAUGGCCGAGCAGGAUCAGCAUGGACAGGCCUGAGAUGGAGUCCAGGCCCCAUGAAUUCCUUCUUCAUGGUCUUAGCAGGAAACUCCUGGGACCCUGUGAAACCAUACAGCUCCCCAGAGACACUUACAGAGAACACAACCAACAAAGCUCCAGGACAUAGCUUAUUGAUCAAAGCCGCUGAAGUCAUUCCCAGAGCCUGAGAAAUCUUCAUAAAAUUAGCAGCUGGGGGUUGGAAUGGGUGUUGGUUCUAAGAAGGCAUUUCCCUAUGGAUGGCUGCACACACUCAGAUGAAAAGACAGCCUCGCUGAUAGUGUUGGGUGGGGUAGCAUGUUCUUUUCUCAAAUGUUCUGUGGAAGUAGCAUGGAUAAAACAAAGAACACUGGGUCUGCAUGCAUGCUACCUGAAUGGAUGGAUUCAGAUCUAAGAACCUGAGCAAUCCAUGUUGCUUGCCUGGGCCUGUUUCCUCAUCUAUAACAAAAAGACAUGAGUGGUGGUUCAGCCUACCAUUUGGUGCUACAAAAGUGAGAAGGAUAAUUAUUGUUGUUAAUACUUUUCUGAAUGUUUCAGGAUUCUGCACGGAGAUACCAUGAAACCAUUUUAUAUCACACACUGAAAACUGAAAUAUACCAAAAAAGCUGCACCAAGUUAGGAUUUGGAACAGAAAUUAUUUACAAAAUAGGCAAUGCUACUGGGCAUGUUUUGGUCUUCAAUUAAAUUCUUUUUAAACUCUGGCUCCAUGGUGUAAUGGUUUUGGAAUUAGUAAUAAUAAAACAUUAGUUACACCAGUGAGUAAUGGUUUUAUUUAAAACAAGAUGAAAUGUUAACCCAGUGAUGCCCAGAACCAAACAUAAGGCCUCUAAGUGAAUGUUAGAGGCCAUUGGUGGGGUCAUUGCUAGUAACCGUUAGGUGGAGGGCUGAGAUAUACACAGCACAGCUCCCUGCAUCUCACCUCAUUAUUUCACCUUGCUGUUUUAUCUGUGUCUUAAAAUCCUUUUGGAAGCACUCAAUAUUGACCUUUUUUUUUUUUUUUUAACACUGGCAGAGACACUGGGAUUCAGAAAAAUUGAUUUGGUCAAAGUCUCAUGGCUUGCAGGGGUGCAGGAUCUGAUAUGAGGUGUCAGCUGGGGCAGG